UGAGGAAUAUUGGUCAAUGGCCGGAAGGCUGAACCAGCCAAGCCGCGUGAAGGAUGAAGGUGCCAAGCAUUGUAAACUUCUUUUGUCAAGGGACAAAAUCAGGCUCGAGAGCCUGACCGAGGGUACUUGAAGAAAAAGCAUCGGCUAACUCCGUGCCAGCAGCCGCGGUAAUACGGAGGAUGCGAGCGUUAUCCGGAUUUAUUGGGUUUAAAGGGUGCGUAGGCGGACUGUUAAGUCAGCGGUAAAAGCCCGGGGCUCAACCCCGGCGAGCCGUUGAAACUGGCUGUCUUGAGACGUCGAGAG
rnacentral:rRNA from 1 species